rnacentral:sRNA from 1 species
UUUAAUAUGUACAAGAAGUUCAGGAGGGAAGCUUCAUCUGCUCAAGACAGGUGGGGUUCUGUCUCUAAUAGACUGCACGUUGAUUGAGGAGCCAGAUGCAAGCGAUGAUGACUCUAAAGGUUCUGGGCAAGUGUUUGGGCACCUGGAUUUUAAAAUAGUGGUGGAGCCUCCCGACGCUGCCGCCUUCACUGUUGUCUUGUUAGCACCCUCACGCCAGGAGAAAGCUGCCUGGAUGAGUGACAUCAGUCAGCGCUCUAAACAUCCUCUACAAGAGUGCCUUAUGCUGGACUUUUACUUAUAUACCCUCAGGAUGGCUUCAAUGGCAAAUAAAUAGCUAGAAAAGAAGCCAUUUCUUUUCUGCCUGACAAGGAAAUGAAAAUAUGGGAUCUUCCAUUUUUGUGGACUUGCAUCCUUGUGGUGAUUUAUUCAUACGUUCAUUAGCUCUAUGCUAUAUCAAUUAAUAGCAUAUUAAGUCUCUCCCUAUUUGUAACACAUCUCUUACUUUAUGAAACUCUGGAUCAUUCAUUGACUCUUUGAACAUUUAUUGAGGAAUCACCAUGUGCUGUCAGGUAUUGUGCAGGUACCAGGAAUACGACCAUGGUUCUUGCUCUCAGGGAGAAUAGGCAGGCUCAUAGGGAGCAAAAGGAAGUAAACAGCUAAAUGCAAAAAA